rnacentral:rRNA from 1 species
UACGUAGGCAGCAAGCGUUGUUCGGAGUUACUGGGCGUAAAGGGUGCGUAGGCGGUCCUAUAAGUAUGGUGUGAAAUCUCCCGGCUUAACUGGGAGGGUGCGCUAUAGACUGUGGGACUAGAGUGUGGGAGAGGAAAGUGGAAUUCCUGGUGUAGCGUGAAAUGCGUAGAUAUCAGGAGGAACACCGGUGGUGUAAACGGCUUUCUGGACCAUAACUGACGCUGAGGCACGAAAGCGUGGGUAGCAAACAGG